rnacentral:rRNA from 1 species
AUUGAACGCUGGCGGCAUGCCUUACACAUGCAAGUCGAACGGCAGCGCGGGCUUCGGCCUGGCGGCGAGUGGCGAACGGGUGAGUAAUAUAUCGGAACGUACCCAAGAGUGGGGGAUAACGUAGCGAAAGUUACGCUAAUACCGCAUACGAUCUAAGGAUGAAAGCAGGGGACCGCAAGGCCUUGUGCUCCUGGAGCGGCCGAUAUCUGAUUAGCUAGUUGGUGGGGUAAAGGCCCACCAAGGCAUCGAUCAGUAGCUGGUCUGAGAGGACGACCAGCCACACUGGAACUGAGACACGGUCCAGACUCCUACGGGAGGCAGCAGUGGGGAAUUUUGGACAAUGGGGGCAACCCUGAUCCAGCAAUGCCGCGUGAGUGAAGAAGGCCCUCGGGUUGUAAAGCUCUUUUGUCAGGGAAGAAAAGAUUCGGGCUAAUAUCCCGGGUUCAUGACGGUACCUGAAGAAUAAGCACCGGCUAACUACGUGCCAGCAGCCGCCGCAG